AUCAGACUCACCAACUUAGAGGUCUCCCUUGUUACCUCACUUCAGCUUCCCAGAUGAGUCUCUCUCUAGGACCCUUCUUCCAUUCCCUUCUCUCUGCCAUCUGUUGUUUCUCUUUUGUAGUCUCUCCCUAUUUCUUCUGGGUUUUUUUCUUCUUUUUUUCAAGAGCUAAUUUUGGGCUCCGUUCCCCUUUAAAUUCUUCCAGCCGUUUAAAUUCUUUCUCAGCAAGCACUCUCUUCUUUCUCCCUUCACACAUGCUGCUCUUUCUUUAUGUUUUGAUUCGGGUCCCUCUCUGCUCCAUCUGGGUAUCCCAGCCCCUUUCUUUCCUAGAACUCGUUGCUAAGAAUGAAAACAGCAGGGAGGAUAGAUCCUGAUGAGGCCACAAAGCCUGUCAAGUUUCAAAAAGAGAAAACCAGGAUCCCUGCACAUCAGUUACAUGAUGGGAGGCUGCAAAGUUUGAUAGGAAGCAGGAAGGAAGCAUGAUGUAAGAAUAUGAAUGUGAAAGGCAAGCACUGAUGUUUGGCUAAUAAAGGCUCUGUUUUUAUACUCCCUGCUCACACAACUCGGUCUUAUACUAGCAUUGCCUCUGGCUUCAAAUGUGGCUGCUACUGUGAGGAAUUACUCCUCAUGGGGUAUGUCUACACAAGACACUACUGCACAGUGGUUACUGCACAUUUAUUUACUACUUGUAUAAGCAAAUACUAAAUAAAUGCACAGUAAGUGGAAUUACUGUGCAAUAGCACCGGUGAACAUCUUUACUCUCACAAUACCAUGCAGUAGUGUAUUAGCACGGUCCGUGCUGUGAUGCACUACUGUGCAGUAUUAUUCGGCUGUUGAGCAGUCAGUGUCUUAUGUAAAUUCACCCACAGGGAUUAUUCCUGUGAGGAAAUAUUCUAGAAUUGGGCCAGAGGGAUGGGCUACUACUUCUAGCAAACUGUAAGGGAACAGGAAGGAAUACGGAAACCUGAAUUUGUGCAUGUCAGCCAAAAUUAGGAAAUCCUGAAUCAAACUGCUCUUUGUCACUGUUAGAUUGCUUAAACCUAAAAAUAAAGGUUGUGGAUCAAUUUAGA